GAUGAACGCUGGCGGCGUGCUUAACACAUGCAAGUCGAACGAUGAAGCUGGAGCUUGCUCCGGUGGAUUAGUGGCGAACGGGUGAGUAACACGUGAGCAAUCUGCCCUUGACUCUGGGAUAACUGCGGGAAACUGUAGCUAAUACCGGAUACGACGCCUUGGGGCAUCCCACGGGCGUGGAAAGAAUUUCGGUCAAGGAUGAGCUCGCGGCCUAUCAGCUAGUUGGUGAGGUAAUGGCUCACCAAGGCGACGACGGGUAGCCGGCCUGAGAGGGUGACCGGCCACACUGGGACUGAGACACGGCCCAGACUCCUACGGGAGGCAGCAGUGGGGAAUAUUGCGCAAUGGGCGAAAGCCUGACGCAGCAACGCCGCGUGAGGGAU
rnacentral:rRNA from 1 species